AAGUCGUAACAAGGUUUCCGUAGGUGAACCUGCGGAAGGAUCAUUAUCAACGUUAUCCACGUACUAACCAUUACCAAAAAUGUGAACUGUCUCAAUCCUCUGAGUGAAGCGGUUGGAAGUGCGAUUCUUUGAUGGUUUUACUUUCAAAGAAACGCUGUCUUUCUCAGAGUGUAUUUUCUAACUACACUUCCUAACACAAUCAAAACUAUUAACAAAUUGAACCGAAACUAAAUUUACUUCUUUACUGUGAACUGAAUUAUCAUUCUUUUACUCGUUUUGUUUUUUCUUCCUUUGCAAAAAGGCAGUGAACGAACAGUGAACGAUGAUCAAUUUACGAAACUAAUAAGAACAACUCUUAGCAACGGAUAUCUUGGUUCUC
rnacentral:misc_RNA from 1 species